CGGUGGUCCCACCUGACCCCAUGCCGAACUCAGAAGUGAAACGCCGUAGCGCCGAUGGUAGUGUAGGGUCUCCCCAUGCGAGAGUAGGGAACUGCCAGACA
rnacentral:rRNA from 1 species